GUAUUAUCAAGGAGUGGUGAAAUUCUUUGACUCUACAAGCCAGAAGCACAAGUUAUUGUAUGACGACGGUGAUGAAGAACUCUUGGAUCUCGAGCGGGAACAGUGGGAGUUGGUUGAAAACGCGUCUCCUAUCUCAAAUUUUGAACUCACAAGAAAGGUUUCACCACAGCACCAUGACGUAAUCUGUGUC